rnacentral:rRNA from 1 species
CCUANGGGGGGCAGCAGUGGGGAAUAUUGCGCAAUGGGGGAAACCCUGACGCAGCAACGCCGCGUGGGUGAUGAAGGCCUUCGGGUCGUAAAGCCCUGUCGGGUGGGACGAAUUGAUCGCGGGUGAACAAUCCGCGGUCUUGACGGUACCACCAAAGGAAGCACCGGCUAACUCCGUGCCAGCAGCCGCGGUAAUACGGAGGGUGCAAGCGUUGUUCGGAAUUACUGGGCGUAAAGAGCUUGUAGGCGGCUUGCUAAGUCCGAUGUGAAAGCCCUCGGCUCAACCGGGGAAGUGCAUUGGAUACUGGCGAACUUGAGUAUGGGAGAGGAGAGCGGAAUUCCCGGUGUAGAGGUGAAAUUCGUAGAUAUCGGGAGGAACACCAGUGGCGAAGGCGGCCACCUGGACGGUGACUGACGCUGAGACGCGAAAGCGUGGGGAGCAAACAGGAUUAGAUACCCGGNUANUC